CCUACGGGUGGCAGCAGUCGAGAAUCAUUCACAAUGGGGGAAACCCUGAUGGUGCGACGCCGCGUGGGGGAAUGAAGGUCUUCGGAUUGUAAACCCCUGUCAUGUGGGAGCAAAUUAAAAAGAUAGUACCACAAGAGGAAGAGACGGCUAACUCAGUGCCAGCAGCGGCGGGAAUACAGAGGUCUCAAGCGUUGUUCGCAAUCAGGGGGGGUAAAGCGUGCGUAGGCGGUUUCGUAAGUCGUGUGUGAAAGGCGCGGGCUCAACCCGCGGACGGCACAUGAUACUGCGAGACUAGAGUAAGGGAGGGGGAACCGGAAUUCUCGGUGUAGCAGUGAAAUGCGUAGAUAUCGAGAGGAACACUCGUGGCGAAGGCGGGUUCCUGGACAUUAACUGACGCUGAGACACGAAGGCCAGGGGAGCGAAAGGGAUUAGAUACCCUUGUAGUC
rnacentral:rRNA from 1 species